AACCCAUGGUGAGGGAACCUUCUCAAAAGGUCCUUGUAUCUCUCCCAUGCAUCGUAGAUUUCUAAAUCCAUCUGCACAAAAGAAGAGAUAUCAUUAUGUAAUU
rnacentral:snoRNA from 1 species